UGCGAGUCGAACGAGAACGGGUUAUAGCUUGCUAUAACUGUCAGCUAAGUGGCGCACGGGUGAGUAAUAUAUAGUUAACCUGCCCUAGAGAGAGGGAUAACGUUUGGAAACGGACGCUAAUACCUCAUAUGCCUUUAAUACAUAAGUAUGCAAGGGAAACAUUUAUGGCUCUAGGAUGGGACUGUACGGUAUCAGUUAGUUGGUGAGGUAAUGGCUCACCAAGACAAUGACACCUAACUGGUUUGAGAGGAUGAUCAGUCACACUGGAACUGAGACACGGUCCAGACUCCUACGGGAGGCAGCAGUGGGGAAUAUUGCACAAUGGACGAAAGUCUGAUGCAGCAACGCCGCGUGGAGGAUGACACAUUUCGGUGCGUAAACUCCUUUUAUAUAGGAAGAUAAUGACGGUACUAUAUGAAUAAGCACCGGCUAACUCCGUGCCAGCAGCCGCGGUAAUACGGAGGGUGCAAGCGUUACUCGGAAUCACUGGGCGUAAAGAGCGUGUAGGCGGAUAGGUAAGUCAGAAGUGAAAUCCAAUAGCUCAACUAUUGAACUGCUUUUGAAACUGCUUGUCUAGAAUAUGGGAGAGGUAGAUGGAAUUUCUGGUGUAGGGGUAAAAUCCGUAGAGAUCAGAACGAAUACCGAUUGCGAAGGCGAUCUACUGGAACAUUAUUGACGCUGAGACGCGAAAGCGUGGGGAGCAAACAGGAUUAGAUACCCUGGUAGUCC
rnacentral:rRNA from 1 species